GGGGAAUAUUGCGCAAUGGGGGAAACCCUGACGCAGCAACGCCGCGUGGAGGAAGAAGGUCUUCGGAUUGUAAACUCCUGUCUUCUGGGACGAUAAUGACGGUACCAGAGGAGGAAGCCACGGCUAACUACGUGCCAGCAGCCGCGGUAAUACGUAGGUGGCGAGCGUUGUCCGGAAUUACUGGGCGUAAAGGGCGCGUAGGCGGCUCUUUAAGUUAGAUGUGAAAACCCGAGGCUUAACUUCGGGAGUGCAUUUAAAACUGAAGGGCUUGAGUGCAGGAGAGGUAAGUGGAAUUCCUAGUGUAGCGGUGAAAUGCGUAGAUAUUAGGAGGAACACCAGUGGCGAAGGCGACUUACUGGACUGUAACUGACGCUGAGGCGCGAAAGCGUGGGGAGCAAACAG
rnacentral:rRNA from 1 species